rnacentral:rRNA from 13 species
UAUAUUAAUGUUGUUUCAGUUAAAAAGCUCGUAGUUGGAUAUCUGGCCUUUGCACGGACGGCCCGCCUUCGGGUUGAGUGCUGGAAGUGCAGGUCUAUAUUCUGGUUGGCGUGCUUUCCCUUUAUUGUGGCGAGUAUCGCGAUCCGGAUCGUUUACUUUGAAGAAAUUCGAGUGUUCAAAGCAGGCUUACGCCGUGAAGAUUGCAGCAUGGAAUAAUGACAUAGGACUAUCGUGUUCUAUUUUGUUGGUUCUGGGACCGUAGUAAUGAUUGAUAGGGACAGUUGGGGGUGCUGCUAUUCCGCGGCCAGAGGUGAAAUUCUCAGAUUCCCGGAAGAGCAACUUAUGCGAAAGCAUUCACCAAGGAUGUCUUCUUUAAUCAAGAACGAAAGUAGGGGGAUCGAAGACGAUCAGAUACCUUCGUAGUCUUAACCAUAAACGAUGCCGAC